AGGCUCCGAAGGAAAAGCCAUCUUUCAGGCAGUAUACCACUCACUCCCUCACCUCAGAGACCUAUAUACUAGUAUAUAGGUCUCUGCUCACCUGUCUCUAAGGAAGAUUCAAUUCAAAACAAGAUGCUGCAGUCGAAAGAAUAUAAGUAGUUCGAAGAUGGACUCAAAAAUGAAAGUAAAGAGCUGAGAAAGUGACUACAUAAGCACAGAAAGAUACUCUGGUCUACUUUUGGAAAUGGCGUCCGGCUCAAACGACGAUGAUCGGACACAUCGGCGUAAGUAUUAUGUACUUGUACAUUUUUGUAGUAGAUAAGACCUUUGUGCAGAUGCAAGGGUCUCGGUGUGACGUUUAUAAACUUAAGUAUAGGUCACAUCGGCUCCUAGUUCAAACAACCAGUGAGGGAGUUAGAAUUGUUUCCGAGAUUUCUCCUGUAAAUAAUAUUAAAUCUUGUGAUGGUUCCAAUUCAACUUGUAUAUGGUCAGCUGUCAAAGGGAUUUGUUUCUUAGCUAUAAAAGGUUCUCUUUCAUUAAGACUUUUGAUGAUACACCUAGUGUUUGAAUAGGUGAAAUAAACGGAUCCGAUGUAGGUGUGUCGAUAUACAUCAGGAACGUUAAACAAUUAGUAAGAAUACGGUU